AAACGAAGAAGAGUCAUCCUUUAACCAUUAACGAGGAAAGGACCCUACUGAUCCCAGGCCAGCAUUUAGAGAUGUCCAAACCUCUAACAUCAGCAAGUUGAUCAACAAAAUGAGGGCCACUCGACCACUACUCGCUCUCUCUGACAAACGCUGUCAGUCUUAUCGCCUGCAGGCUAAUUUGUUGAACACCGGCGGCCGGAUUCCUCACUGCUCUGCUGACUAACUACUGCAAUCAGAUGUGGCCCUUUGCACAUUCACAUAAACAGCACGAGUGCAAGUUCAUACCUUUGUGUGAACUGCUCCAUUCAGUUGAAGUCGACGUCCUGACUUCCGAAGGAUCUGCCCGAGAGGAAGACAAGGAGCAAGUGAGAUAAAGAAAGAUUCAUUUCAACUGAUGAGACAUACACACAUUAAAGCACAAACAGACACACACACAGAAAACUUUCAAAUCCUUUCAAACCUGAACUCCUUCUUCCAUCCGGCAGCAAAACAGCACAAGACAACCUCACUGGUGUCUCACUGUUAUAUAAAUUGUGCAAGACCAUCACAAUAUCUGACUUUUUAAUGCCUGUGAUUUUCUCCUUUUAUUUAUUCAUUUUGUGCUAUCAUUUCUAAAUAGCUCCAAAAGCAAUAAACUAAUUGAUGAAUGAAUAAUCUGAAGUGGCCAAUGCUGCCCCCUAGUGUUAGAAAAACAUGAACCACUGCAUUUACUUGAUUUCCUACUUCACACAGAAACCACAGCAGAAGGUCAUCGGGGGUGCAGUUAUCACAUAGACCACACUGUGUAAGAGAGGUCACAAAGUUGAAAACUGCAAUCAAAGUGUUCAUCAUUCUGUUAAGGAUUAAAGAAUGAGCUUCUACUGUC